AGUGGCGGACGGGUGAGGAACGCGUAGGGAUGUGUCCAUGGGUGGGGGAUAACGUUGGGAAACUGACGCUAAUACCGCAUGUGAUCUGAGGAUCAAAGCCGCGAGGCGCCUGUGGAGCAACCUGCGUCCGAUUAGGUAGUUGGUGGGGUAAUGGCCUACCAAGCCUCCGAUCGGUAGCUGGUCUGAGAGGACGACCAGCCACACUGGGACUGAGACACGGCCCAGACUCCUACGGGAGGCAGCAGUGGGGAAUAUUGGACAAUGGGCGCAAGCCUGAUCCAGCAAUGCCGCGUGGAUGAAGAAGGUCUUCGGAUUGUAAAGUCCUUUCGACGGGGACGAUGAUGACGGUACCCGUAGAAGAAGCCCCGGCUAACUUCGUGCCAGCAGCCGCGGUAAUACGAAGGGGGCUAGCGUUACUCGGAAUUACUGGGCGUAAAGGGCGCGUAGGCGGCAUGAUAAGUCAGGCGUGAAAUUCCCGGGCUCAACCUGGGGACUGCGCUUGAGACUGUUGAGCUAGAGGAUGGAAGAGGGUCGUGGAAUUCCCAGUGUAGAGGUGAAAUUCGUAGAUAUUGGGAAGAACACCGGUGGCGAAGGCGGCGACCUGGUCCAUUACUGACGCUGAGGCGCGACAGCGUGGGGAGCAAACAGGAUUAGAUACCCUGGUAGUCCACGCCGUAAACGAUGUGCGCUGAAUGUUGGGGUUCUUAGAAUCUCAGUGUUGUAGCUAACGCGGUAAGCGCACCGCCUGGGG
rnacentral:rRNA from 1 species